AUUGAACGCUGGCGGCAGGCCUAACACAUGCAAGUCGAACGGUAACAGGAAGCAGCUUGCUGCUUUGCUGACGAGUGGCGGACGGGUGAGUAAUGUCUGGGAAACUGCCUGAUGGAGGGGGAUAACUACUGGAAACGGUAGCUAAUACCGCAUAACGUCGCAAGACCAAAGAGGGGGACCUUNUCGGGCCUCUUGCCAUCGGAUGUGCCCAGAUGGGAUUAGCUAGUAGGUGGGGUAAAGGCUCACCUAGGCGACGAUCCCUAGCUGGUCUGAGAGGAUGACCAGCCACACUGGAACUGAGACACGGUCCAGACUCCUACGGGAGGCAGCAGUGGGGAAUAUUGCACAAUGGGCGCAAGCCUGAUGCAGCCAUGCCGCGUGUAUGAAGAAGGCCUUCGGGUUGUAAAGUACUUU
rnacentral:rRNA from 1 species